CCUACGGAGGGCUGCAGUGGGGAAUAUUGGACAAUGGGCGAAAGCCUGAUCCAGCCAUGCCGCGUGUGUGAAGAAGGCCUUCGGGUUGUAAAGCACUUUCAGUGGGGAAGAAAGCCUUGGGGCUAAUACCCUCGAGGAAGGACAUCACCCACAGAAGAAGCACCGGCUAACUCCGUGCCAGCAGCCGCGGUAAUACGGAGGGUGCGAGCGUUAAUCGGAAUUACUGGGCGUAAAGCGCGCGUAGGCGGUCUGAUAAGCCGGUUGUGAAAGCCCCGGGCUCAACCUGGGAACGGCAUCCGGAACUGUCAGGCUAGAGUGCAGGAGAGGAAGGUAGAAUUCCCGGUGUAGCGGUGAAAUGCGUAGAGAUCGGGAGGAAUACCAGUGGCGAAGGCGGCCUUCUGGACUGACACUGACGCUGAGGUGCGAAAGCGUGGGUAGCAAACAGGAUUAGAUACCCAGUAGUC
rnacentral:rRNA from 1 species